CCUACGGGUGGCUGCAGUGAGGAAUAUUGGGCAAUGGGCGAAAGCCUGACCCAGCCACGCCGCGUGAGUGAUGAAGGCCUUCGGGUUGUAAAGCUCUGUGGGGAGAGAAGAAAAAGCGCGAGAGUAACUGCUCGUGUGUUGACGGUAUCUCCUUAGCAAGCACCGGCUAACUCUGUGCCAGCAGCCGCGGUAAUACAGAGGGUGCAAACGUUGCUCGGAAUUACUGGGCGUAAAGCGCGUGUAGGCUGACAUGCAAGUCGGAUGUGAAAUCCCAG
rnacentral:rRNA from 1 species